CUCGGUAUGAUCAUUCUUUCAUCAGUUUGUUCCCUGUUUCUUCUCUAGCCUGAGCCUGACACACUAUUCUAGCUAGACAUGGGUGUGGCUCGUGACACCUGAUGACCAAAUGGAUCUACGGCACCGUCGAAUCUCAAACUUUAACUGCCAAAACUAUUGUUUUUCAUCCUGUAGUCCCUUUUAGAAUUACGAAACGUCCUUUUUUGGGCCAUGAUUUCCAGGAAUGCUUUCUCGGGGUUUGUGUGCACGUAUUUCAAACCAUACGGACCUAAAAAUUAGAAGUCAUUCCAUCUUUAUUCCCCUAGAGCCUUCCGGCAGUUCCUAAACUGCUCUAUUUGGAGCAUGUUAUCAUUCUUGUUAGUUCUGAGUGAAUUCCCUCGGUAUGAUCAUUCUUUCAUCAGUUUGUUCCCCGUUUCUUCUCUAGUCUGAGCCUAGCACACUAUUCUAGCUAUUAAUGGGUGUGGAUCGUAACACCUGAUGAGCAAACGGAUCUACGGCACCAUCGAAUCUCAAACUUUAACUGCCAAAACUAUUGUUUUUCAUUCUGUAGUCCCUUUUCGAAUUAUUAAACGUCCUUUUUUGGGCCGAGAUUUCCAGGAACGCUUUCUCGGGGUUUGUGUGCAUGUAUUUCAAAUCAUACGGACCUAAAAAUUAGAAGGCAUUCCAUCUUUAUUCCCCUAGAGACUUCCAGCAGUUCCUAAACCGCUCCAGUCGGAGCAUGUUAUCAUUCUUGUUAGUUCUGAGCGAAUUCCCUCGGUAUGAUCAUUCUAUCAUCUGUUUGUUCCCUGUUUCUUCGCUAGCCUAAGCCUGACACACUAUUCUAGGUAGACAUGGGUGUGGCUCGUGACACCUAAUGACCAAACGGAUCUACGGCACCCUCGAAUCUCAAACUUUAACUACCAAAACUAUUGUUUUUCAUUCUGUAGUCCCUUUUAGAUUACUAAACAUCCUUUUUUGGGCUGAGAUUUCCAGGAACGCUUUCUCGGGGUUUGUGUGCAUGUAUUUCAAACCAAACGUUCCUAAAAUUAGAAGUCAUUCCAUCUUAAUUCCCCUAGAGCCUUCUAGCAAUUCCUAAACAGCUCUAGUCGGAGCAUGUUAUCAUUCUUGUUAAUUCUGAGCGAAUUCCCUCCGUAUGAUCAUUCUUUCAUCAGUUUGUUCUCCGUUUCUGCUCUAGUCUGAGCCUAGCACACUAUUCUAGCUAUUAAUGGGUGUGGAUCGUAACACCUAAUGACCAAACGGAUCUACGACACCAUCGAAUCUCAAACUUUAACUGCCAAAACUAUUGUUUUUCAUCCUGUAGUCCCUUUUCGAAUUAUUAAACGUCCUUUUUUGGGCCGAGAUUUCCAGGAACGCUUUCUCGGGGUUUGUGUGGAUGUAUUUCAAAUCAUACGGACCUAAAAAUUAGAAGGCAUUCCAUCUUUAUUCCCCUAGAGCCUUCCAGCAGUUCCUANNNNNNNNNNNNNNNNNNNNNNNNNNNNNNNNNNNNNNNNNNNNNNNNNNNNNNNNNNNNNNNNNNNNNNNNNNNNNNNNNNNNNNNNNNNNNNNNNNNNNNNNUCGCUAGCCUAAGCCUGACACACUAUUCUAGCUACACAUGGGUGUGGCUCGUGACACCUAAUGACCAAACAGAUCUACGGCACCGUCGAAUCUCAAACUUUAACUACCAAAACUAUUGUUUUUCAUUCUGUAGUCCCUUUUAAAUUACUAAACGUCAUUUUUUGGGCCGAGAUUUCUAGGAACGCUUUCUCGGGGUUUGUGUGCAUGUAUUUCAAGUCAUAUGGACCUAAAAAUUAGAAUCCAUUCCAUCUUUAUUCCCCUAGAGCCUUCCAGCAGUUCCUAAACUGCUCCAGUCGGAGCACAUUAUCAUUAUUGUUAGUUCUGACUGAAUUCCCUCGGUAUGAUCAUUCUUUCAUCAGUUUGUUCCCCGUUUCUGCUCUACUCUGAGCUUAACACACUAUUCUAGCUAGGCAUGGGUGUGGCUCGUAACACCUGAUGACCAAACGGAUCUACGAUACCGUCGAAUCUCAAACUUUGACUACGAAAACUAUUGUUUUUCAUUCUAUAGUCCCUUUUAGAAUUACUAAACGUCCUUUUUUGGGCCGAGAUUUCCAGGAACGCUUUCUCGGGGUUUGUGUGCACGUAUUUCAAACAAUACGGACCUAAAAAUUAGAAUUCAUUCCAUCUUUAUUCCCCUAGAGCCUUCCAGCAGUUCCUAAACCGCUCUAGUCGGAGCACUUUAUCAUUCUUGUUAGUUCUCAGCGAAUUCCCUCGGUAUGAUCAUUCUUUCAUCAGUUUGUUCCCCAUUUCUUCUCUAGCCUGAGCCUAACACACUAUUCUAGCUACACAUGGGUGUGGCUCGUCACACCCGAUGACCAAACGGAUCUACGGCACCGUCGAAUCUCAAACUUUAACUGCCAAAACUAUUGUUUUUCAUCCUGUAGUCCCUUUUAGAAUUACUAAACGUCCUUUUUUGGGUAGAUAUUUCUAGGAACGCUUUAUCGGGGUUUGUGUGCACGUAUUUCAGACCAUACGGACCUAAAAAUUAGAAGUCAUUCCAUCUUUAUUCCCCUAUAGCCUUCCAGCAGUUCCUAAACCGCUCCAGUCGGAGCCCGUUAUCAUUCUUGUUAGUUUUGAGCGAAUUCCCUCGGUAUGAUCAUUCUUUCAUCAGUUUGUUCCCCGUUUCUUCUCUAGUCUAAGCCUAGCACACUAGUUUAGCUAGACAUGGGUGUGGCUCGUAACACCUGAUGGCCAAACGGAUCUACGGCACCGUGAAAUCUCAAACUUUAACUGCCAAAACUAUUGUUUUUCAUCCUGUAGUCCCUUUUAGAAUUACUAAACGUCCUUUUUUGGGCUGAGAUUUCCAGGAACACUUUCUCGGGGUUUGUGUGCAUGUAUUUCAAACCAUAUGGACCUAAAAAUUAGAAGUCAUUCCAUCUUUAUUCCCCUAGAGCCUUCCAACAGUCCCUAAACCGCUCCAGUCCGAGCAUGUUAUCAUUCUUGUUAGUUCUGAGUGAAUUCCCUCGGUAUGAUCAUUCUUUCAUCAGUUUGUUCCCCAUUUCUUCUCUAGUCUGAGCCUAGCUCACUAUUCUAGCUAGACAUGGGUGUGGCUCAUAAUACCUGAUGACCAAACGGAUCUACGGCACCAUCGAAUCUCAAACUUUAACUGCCAAAACAAUUGUUUUUCAUCCUGUAGUCCCUUUUAGAAUUACUAAACGUCCUUUUUUGGGCCGAGAUUUCCAGGAACGCUUUCUCGGGGUUUGUGUGCACGUAUUUCAAACCAAGCGUUCUUAAAAAUUAGAAGUCAUUCCAUCUUUAUUCCCCUAGAGCCUUACAGCAGUUCCUAAACUGCUCCAGUCGGCGCACGUUAUCAUUCUUGUUAGUUCUGAGCGAAUUCCCUCGGUAUGAUCAUUCUUUCAUCAGUUUGUUCCCCGUUUCUUCUCUAGUUUGAGCCUAGCACACUAUUCUAGCUAGACAUGGGUGUGGGUCAUAACACCUGAUGACCAAACAGAUCGACGACACCAUCGAAUCUCAAACUUUAACUGCCAAAACUAUUGUUUUUCAUCCUGUAGUCCCUUUUAGAAUUACUAAACGUCCUUUUUUGGGUCGAGAUUUCCAAGAAAGCUUUCUCGGGCUUUGUGUGCACGUAUUUCAAACCAAAAAUUUCUAAAAAUUAGAAGUCAUUCCAUCUUUAUUCCCCUAGAGCCUUCCAGCAGUUCCUAAACAGCUCCAGUCGGAGCACGUUAUCAUUCUUGUUAGUUCUGAGCGAAUUCCCUCGGUAUGAUCAUUCUUUCAUCAGUUUGUUCCCCGUUUCUUCUAUAGUCUGAGCCUAUCACACUAUUCUAGCUAGACAUGGGUGUGGCUCGUAACACCUGAUGACCAAACGGAUCUACGGCACCAUCGAAUCUAAAACUUUAACUGCCAAAACUAUUGUUUUUCAUCCUGUAGUCCCUUUAGAACUACUAAAUGUCCUUUUUUGGGCCAAGAUUUCCAGGAACGCUUUCUCGGGGUUUGUGUGCAUGUAUUUCAAACCAUACGGACCUAAAAAUUAGGUCAUUCCAUCUUUAUUCCCCUAGAGCCUUCCAGCAGUUCCUAAACCGCUCCAGUCGGAGCAUGUUAUCAUUCUUGUUUGUUCUGAGUGAAUUCCCUCAGUAUGAUCAUUCUUUCAUCAUUUUGUUCCCCGUUUCUUCUCUAGUCUGAGCCUAGCACACUAUUCUAGCUAGACAUGGGUGUGGCUCGUAACACCUGACCAAACGGAUCUACGGCACCGUCGAAUCUCAAACUUUAACUGCCAAAACUAUUGUUUUUCAUCCUGUAGUCCCUUUUAAAUUUAAUAAACGUCCUUUUUUGGGCUGAGAUUUCCAGGAACGCUUUCGUGCGGUUUGUGUGCAAGUAUUUCAAAUCAUACAGACCUAUAAAUUAGAAGUCAUUUCAUCUUUAUUCCCCUAGAGCCUUCGAGCGGUUCCUAAACCGCUCAAGUCGGAGCAUGUUAUCAUUCUUGUUAGUUCUGAGUGAAUUCCCUCGGUAUGAUCAUUCUUUCAUCAGUUUGUUCCCCGUUCCUUCUCUAGUCUGAGCCUAGCACACUACUCUAGCUAGACAUGGGUUUGGCUCGUAACACCUGAUAACCAAACGGGUCUACGACACCAUCGAAUCUCAAACUUUUUUGGGCCAAGAUUUGCAGGAACGCUUUCUCGGGGUUUGUGUGCACGUAUUUCAAAUCAUGCGGACCUAAAAAUUAGAAGUCAUUCCAUAUUUGUUCCCCUAGAGCCUUCCAGCAGUUCCUAAACCGCUCCAGUUGGACCACGUUAUCAUUCUUGUUAGUUCUGAGUGAAUUACCUCGGUAUGAUCAUUCUUUCAUAAGUUUGUUCCCCGUUUCUUCUAUAGUCUGAGCCUAGCACACUACUCUAGCUAGACAUGGGAGUGGCUCGUAACACCUGAUGACCAAACAGAUCUAUGGCACCGUCGAAUCUCAAACUUUAACUGCCAAAACUAUUGUUUUUCAUCCUGUAGUCCCUUUUAGAAUUACUAAACGUCAUUUUUUGGGCUGAGAUUUCCAGGAACGCUUUCGCGGGGUUUGUGUGCACGUAUUUCAAACCAUAGGGACCUAAAAAUUAGAAGUCAUUCCAUCUUUAUUCCCCUAGAGCCUAACACACUAUUCUAGCUAGACAUGGGUGUGGCUCGUAACACCUGAUGACAAAACGGAUCUACGGCACCAUCGAAUCUCAAACUUUAACUGCCAAAAUUAUUGUAUUUCAUCCUGUAGUCCCUUUUAGAAUUAUUAAACGUCCUUUUUUUGGGCUGUGAUUUCCAUGAACGCUUUCUCGGGGUUUCUGUGCACGUAUUUCAAAUCAUACGGACCUAAAAAUUAGAAGUCAUUCCAUCUUUAUUCCCCUAGAGCCUUCCAACAGUUCCUAAACCGCUCCAGUCGGAGCACAUUAUCAUUCUUGUUAGUUCUGAGUGAAUUCCCAUGGUAUGAUCAUUCUUUCAUUAGUUUGUUCCCCGUUUCUUCUCUAGUCUGAGCCUACCACACUAUUCUAGCUAGACAUGGGUGUGGCUCAUAACACCUUAUGACCAAACGGAUCUACGGCACCAUCGAAUCUCAAACUUUAACCGCCAAAACUAUUGUUUUUCAUCAUGUAGUCCCUUUUAGAAUUACUAAACGUCCUUCUUUGGGCAGAGAUUUCCAGGAAUGCUUUAUCGGGGUUUGUGUGCACGUAUUUCAGACCAUACGGACCUAAAAAUUAGAAGUCAUUCCAUCUUUAUUCCCCUAGAGCCUUCCAAUAGUUCCUGAACCGCUCCAGUCGGAGCAUGUUAUCAUUCUUGUUAGUUCUGAGCGAAUUCCCUCGGUAUGAUCAUUCUUUCAUCAGUUUGUUUCCCGUUUCUUCUCUAGUCUGAGCCUAGCACACUACUCUAGCUAGACAUUGGUGUGGCUCGUAACACCUGAUGACCAAACGGAUCUACGGCACUGUCAAAUCUCAAACUUUAACUGCCAAAACUAUUGUUUUUCAUCCUGUAGUCCCUUUUAGAAUUACUAAACGUCCUUUUUUGGGCCGAUAUUUCCAGGAACGCUUUCUUGGGGUUUGUGUGCAUGUAUUUCAAACCAUAUGGAACUAAAAAUUACAAGUCAUUCCAUCUUUAUUCCCCUAGAGCCUUCCAGCAGUUCCUAAACCGCUCCAAUCGGAGCAUGUUAUCAUUCUUGUUAAUUCUGAGUGAAUUCCCUUGGUAUGAUCAUUCUUUCAUCAGUUUGUUCCCGAUUUCUUCUCCAGUCUGAGCCUAGCUCACUAUUCUAGCUAGACAUGGGUGUGGCUCAUAAUACCUGAUGACCAAACGGAUCUACGACACCAUCGAAUCUCAAACUUUAACUGCCAAAACUAUUGUUUUUCAUCUUGUAGUCCCUUUUAGAAUUACUAAACGUCCUUUUGUGGGCUGAGAUUUCCAGGAACGCUUUAUCGGGGUUUGUGUGCUCGUAUUUCAGACCAUACGGACCUAAAAAUUAGAACUCAUUCCAUCUUUAUUCCCCUAGAGCCUUCCAGCAGCUCCUAAACCGCUCCAGUCGAGCACGUUAUCAUUCUUGUUAGUUCUGAGCAAAUUCCCUCGUUAUGAUCAUUCUUUCAUCAGUUUGUUCCCCGUUUCUUCUCUGGUCUGAGCCUAGCACACUAUUCUAGCUAUUAAUGGGUGUGGAUCGUAACACUUGAUGAUCAAACAGAUCUACGGCACCAUCGAUUCUCAAACUUUAACUGCCAAAACUAUUGUUUUUCAUCCUGUAGUCCCUUUUAGAAUUAUUAAACGUCCUUUUUUGGGCCGAGAUUUCUAGGAACGCUGUCUCGGGGUUUGUGUGCACGUAUUUCUAAUCAUACGGACCUAAAAAUUAGAAGUCAUUCCAUAUUUAUUCCCCUAGAGCCUUCCAGCAGUUCCUAAACCGCUCAAGUCGGAGCACGUUAUCAUUCUUGUUAGUUCUUAGCGAAUUCCCUCGAUAUGAUCAUUCUUUCAUCAGUUUGUUCCCCGUUUCUUCUCUAGCCUGAGCCCGACACACUAUUCUAGCUAGACAUGGGUGUGGCUCGUAACACCUAAUGACCAAACGGAUCUACGGCACCGUUGAAUCUCAAACUUUAACAGCCAAAAUUAUUGUUUUUCAUUAUGUAGUCUCUUUUAAAUUACUAAACGUCAUUUUUUGAGCUGAGAUAUCCAGGAACGCUUUCUCGGGGUUUUUGUGCACGUAUUUCAAAUCAUACGGACCUGAAAAUUAGAAGUCAUUCCAUCUUUAUUCCCCUAGAGCCUUCCAGCAGUUCCUAAACCGCUCCAGUUGGACCACGUUAUCAUUCUUGUUAGUUCUGAGUGAAUUACCUUAGUAUGAUCAUUCUUUCAUCAGUUUGUUCCCUGUUUCUUCUAUAGUCUGAGCCUAGCACACUACUCUAGCUAGACAUGGGUGUGGCUCGUAACACCUGAUGACCAAACAGAUCUACGGCACCGUCGAAUCUCAAACUUUAACUGCCAAAACUAUUGUUUUUCAUCCUGUAGACCCUUUUAGAAUUACUAAACGUCCUUUUUUGGGCUGAGAUUUCCGGGAACGCUUUCACGGGGUUUGUGUGCACGUAUUUUAAACCAUAUGGACCUAAAAAUUAGAAGUCAUUCCAUCUUUAUUCCCAUAGAGCCUAACACACUAUUCUAGCUAGAUAUGGGUGUGGCUCGUAACACCUGAUGACCAAACGGAUCUACGGCACCAUCGAAUCUCAAACUUUAACUGCCAAAACUAUUGUAUUUCAUCAUGUAGUCCCUUUUAGAAUUAUUAAACGUCCUUUUUUAGGGCCGUGAUUUCCAUGAACGCUUUCUUGGGGUUUCUGUGCAUGUAUUUCAAAUCAUACGGACCUAAAAAUUAGAAGUCAUUCCAUCUUUAUUCCCCUAGAGCCUUCCAGCAGUUCCUAAACCGCUUCAGUCGGAGCACGUUAUCAUUCUUGUUAGUUCUGAGUGAAUUCCCUUGGUAUGAUCAUUCUUUCAUCAGUUUGUUCCCCGUUUCUUCUCUAGUCUGAGCCUAGCACACUAUUCUAGCUAGACAUGGGUGUGGCUCAUAACACCUCAUGACCAAACGGAUCUACGGCACCAUCGAAUCUCAAACUUUAACUGCCAAAACUAUUGUUUUUCAUCCUGUAGUCCCUUUUAGAAUUACUAAACGUCCUUUUUUGGGCAGAUAUUUCCAGGAACGCUUUAUCGGGGUUUGUGUGCUCGUAUUUCAGACCAUACGGACCUAAAAAUUAGAACUCAUUCCAUCUUUAUUCCCCUAUAGCCUUCCAGCAAUUCCGAAACCACUCUAUUCGGAGCACGUUAUCAUUCUUGUUAGUUCUAAAAGAAUUCCCUCGGUAUGAUCAUUCUUUCAUCAGUUUAUUUCCCGUUUCUUCUCUAGUCUAAGCCUAGCACACUAGUCUAGCUAGACAUGGGUGUGGCUCGUAACACCUGAUGACCAAACGGAUCUACGGCACCGUCAAAUCUCAAACUUUAACUGCCAAAACUAUUGUUUUUCAUCCUGUAGUCCCUUUAGAAUUACAAAAGGUCCUUUUUUGGGCCGAGAUUUCCAGGAACACUUUCUCGGGGGUUUGUGUGCAUGUAUUUCAAACCAUAUGGACCUAAAAAUUAGAAGUCAUUCCAUCUUUAUUCCCCUAGAGCCUUCCAGCAGUUCCUAAACCGCUCCAGUCGGAGCAUGUUAUCAUUCUUGUUAGUUCUGAGUGAAUUCCCUCGGUAUGAUCAUUCUUUCAUCAGUUUGUUCCCCAUUUCUUCUCUAGUCUGAGCCUAGCUCACUAUUCUAGCUAGACAUGGGUGUGGCUCGUAAUACCUGAUGACCAAAUGGAUCUACGGCACCAUCGAAUCUCAAACUUUUACUGCCAAAACUAUUGUUUUUCAUCCUGUAGUCCCUUUUAGAAUUACUAAACGUCCUUUUUUGGGCUGAGAUUUCCAGGAACGCUUUCUUGGGGUUUGUGUGCACGUAUUUCAAACCAAGCGUUCCUAAAAAUUAGAAGUCAUUCCAUCUUUAUUCCCCUAGAGCCUUACAGCAGUUCCUAAACUGCUCCAGUCGGCGCACGUUAUCAUUCUUGUUAGUUCUGAGUGAAUUCCCUCGGUAUGAUCAUUCUUUCAUCAGUUUGUUCCCCGUUUCUUCUCUAGUCUGAGCCUACCACACUAUUCUAGCUAGACAUGGGUGUGGCUCAUAACACCUUAUGACCAAACGGAUCUACGGCACCAUCGAAUCUCAAACUUUAACUGCCAAAACUAUUGUUUUUCAUCCUGUAGUCCCUUUUAGAAUUACUAAACGUCCUUUUUUGGGCAGAUAUUUCCAGGAAUGCUUUAUCGGGGUUUGUGUGCACGUAUUUCAGACCAUACGGACCUAAAAAUUAGAAGUCAUUCCAUCUUUAUUCCCCUAUAGCCUUCCACCAGUUCCUAAACCACUCCAGUCGGAGCACGUUAUCAUUCUUGUUAGUUCUGAGCGAAUUCCCUCGGUAUGAUCAUUCUUUCAUCAGUUUAUUCCCCGUUUCUUCUCUAGUCUAAGCCUAGCACACUAGUCUAGCUAGACAUGGGUGUGGCUCGUAACACCUGAUGACCAAACGGAUCUACGGCACCGUCAAAUCUCAAACUUUAACUGCCAAAACUAUUGUUUUUCAUCCUGUAGUCCCUUUUAGAAUAACUAAACGUCCUUUUUUGGGCCGAGAUUUCCGGGAACACUUUCUCGGGGUUUGUGUGCAUGUAUUUCA
rnacentral:lncRNA from 1 species